rnacentral:rRNA from 1 species
AUUGAACGCUGGCGGCAGGCUUAACACAUGCAAGUCGAACGAGUGGCGGACGGGUGAGUAAUGCUUGGGAAUCUCGCUUAUGGAGGGGGAUAACUACGGGAAACUGUAGCUAAUACCGCGUACCAUAGGAUGAGCCCAAGUGGGAUUAGGUAGUUGGUGAGGGAAAGGCUCACCAAGCCGACGAUCGCUAGUUCGUCUGCGAGGAUGACCAGCCACACUGGGAAGUAGACACGGGCCAGACUCCUACGGGAGGCAGCAGUGGGGAAUAUUGCGCAAGGGGGGCAACCUUACGGAGCCAUGCCGCGUGAAUGAAGAAGGCCUUCGGGUUGUAAAGUUCUUGCGGUAGCGAUGCGGUAACUACAGAAGAAGCACCGGCUAACUCCGUGCCAGCCGCCGCGGUAAUAC